UCACAACGCUGGACGGCUGCGCCGUGGCCGGGCAGCUGGCAUUCGUGUUUACCGGAUGCCUCGCUGCUUUUUUUCCUCUCUAGAUUGACUUUUCCGAGUUCUCGCAGACCUAUCAGAUAUGUUCAGAAUCGGCUUCUCUUCUCAGCAGUUUCCUCCUUCUCUUCUUCUUUAUUGUUGAUGUGUUGAUUUAUGUUUGGAUUGCGUAUGUGCACUUCGAUUGGUUCGAUGGUGCUGCGAUUGCUAUUCCUGACAUCACAUGCCUGCCGUUAUAUGCGUGCUGCCGUCCUCCUAGCGGUGUCCUUCUCUAAUUGAUUUCCUCCUGUUAAAUUGAUUUGUUGUUUUGGCUGUUGAGAUUGUUGACUUACGGUGCAUUGUUUCUAUUCAAUGUAGAUCGUCAGGUUUUGCUACGCUCCCGAUGAGCGCGACCCCUCUACCUCGCCGCGCUAGCGCCGUGUUCUUGGAUGUGCCGACAUCAUCCUGCUCCACGCUGAUGGCAGUCACGGUAGUUCUCCGGCUGGCACGCGUGGAAGGCGUGGUAGGCCCUCUUACUCGCGCUCACCGUCAGUGCUCUCGCGUCCACCUUUGAAGAUGUCAAUGGCGAGUCUUCUCUCUCCCUGUUCGUGGAAGGCGGGGAACACGGGUCACCGGCCAGUUCCAUGUUUGCCCCGCGUUGUCUCCUGUCGCGAUUUCUGCUCUCCUGCAUUUGUCCGGCCAUCGGUUCGCUAUGCAAAGCGUCUGGUGAGCUAUUCUGGGUAUUGCGGAGGCGACUUUGUCGAUGUUAGGAUUUCAUCGUUUCUGAACGAAUUUGGUCCCUCUGCAUGCUCUCUCUCUCUUCUGUUGGCGUUCUGUCCGACGAUCUCAUGGUCGGUUCUGAUACUCCUAGCUCAAGACCUGCUAUUCUUAGGCCGGCUGCUCGCAGUUCUACUGGUUUGUCUGUUCUCUGGCGUGGUCUUUUCUUAUUUUCCAAUUUCUCACACCGCGUUCAUUUUUAGCAUUUAGUUGCUGAGUCUUCUUCUGUUCAUGUUGAUUGGACAUCUUCGAAGAAAACAAGAUGACGACGAAGAAAGAAGAAAACAAGCACGCCAGUGCAUCUCCCUUUGACGACGACGCCGAAUCCUUCAAGAACAACGGCUGGCCUUUGAGUCUCUCGCUCCAGGUCUCGCCAUCCACCGUGAGAACUCCGACGCCGAUCACUACUGAUGCACCAAGAAGCUAGAAAAACUCCUAUCUUAGUGUCCUACUUUAUUGCCUGCUUUAGGCUAGGGCAACCGAAAAUGUAUACCGUAAACUCGACGUGAUCUACCUUUUGUUAUAUUCCGUUUAGUAUUGGUCCAAGAGGACCCCGGAAAUUGCACAGAACCAACUGGCCAUUAGCUCA